CCCAACAGCUAGCCCACCCACCCAAAAAUAACAACCACCAUUAAUAUCCCCUCAAACCAAACCCCCCCCAUCAAACAAAACAUUUUCCCUCCUUAGUAUGGGAGACAGAAAAGGACCUUCAUUGGCGCUAUAGAGAAAGUACCGCAAGGAAAAGCUGAAAGAGAAAUGAAACAACCCAGUAAAGUAAAAAAAAGCAGAGAUUCGCCCUCGUACCUUUUGCAUCAUGAUUUAGCCAGUCCCCCUCAAGCAAAGAGCCCUUUAGUUUGAGCCCCCGAAACUAAGCGAGCUACUCCAAGACAGCCUAUCAUAGGGCAAACCCGUCUCUGUGGCAAAAGAGUGGGAAGAGCUUUGAGUAGAGGUGACAGACCUACCGAGCUUAGUUAUAGCUGGUUGCCUAAAAAAUGAAUAGAAGUUCAGCCUUUUAGCUUCUUCCUUUCAAAAUGGAGCUCCUCCACCAAAUAAAAAGAAAUUAAAAGAGUUAUUCAAGAGGGGGACAGCCCUCCUGAAAAAAGACACAACUUUAUUAAGCAGGCAAAAGAACAAAAGACCCAAGGCAUUAUAUUCUAGUGGGCCUAAAAGCAGCCACCAACACAGAAAGCGUUAAAGCUCAGAUAUUCUCCACCCUUAAUUCCGACAACAACAUCUUAAGCCCCUUAAUUUAUUAGGCCUUCCCAUGCAAACAUGGGAGAGAUCCUGCUAACAUGAGUAAUAAGAGGGCCAGCCCCUCUCCAAGCACCCGCGUACAUCAGAACGAACCCCCACUGAAAAUUAACGUCCCCAACCAAAGAGGGCAUUGAACACACACACCCAUAAGACUAGAAAAUUCCUCAGCAAAUUAAACGUUAACCCUACACAGGUGUGCCCAAGGAAAGACUAAAAGAAAAAGAAGGAACUCGGCAAACACUGGCCUCGCCUGUUUACCAAAAACAUCGCCUCUUGCCCCACAAGUAUAAGAGGUCCCGCCUGCCCUGUGACGAGAAGUUUAACGGCCGCGGUAUUUUGACCGUGCGAAGGUAGCGUAAUCACUUGUCUUUUAAAUGAAGACCGGUAUGAAUGGCAUAACGAGGGCUAAGCUGUCUCCUUUUUCCAGUCAAUGAAAUUGAUCUGCCCGUGCAGAAGCGGGCAUGCGCCCAUAAGACGAGAAGACCCUAUGGAGCUUUAGACACCAGAACAGCCCACGUUAAGCCCCUUCUAUCAAGAAAAUAAACUAAAUGAUGCCUGUUCCCCUGUCUUUGGUUGGGGCGACCGCGGGGCAACAAAAAUCCCCCACGUGGAAUAAGAGACAUUUCCUUAAAGCCAGAGCCACAGCUCUAACAUACAGAAUUUCUGACCAACAAGAUCCGGCACCGCCGAUCAACGGACCGAGUUACCCUAGGGAUAACAGCGCAAUCCCCUUUUAGAGCCCAUAUCGACAAGGGGGUUUACGACCUCGAUGUUGGAUCAGGACAUCCUAAUGGUGCAGCCGCUAUUAAGGGUUCGUUUGUUCAACGAUUAAAGUCCUACGUGAUCUGAGUUCAGACCGGAGAAAUCCAGGUCAGUUUCUAUCUAUGAAGUGCUCUUUUCUAGUACGAAAGGACCGAAAAGAAGAGGCCUCUGCUACAAGCAAGCCUCCCCCUUACCUGAUGAAGCCAGCUAAAACAGGUAAAAGGGCACACCCUCCCAGCCCAAGAAAAGGGCAA
rnacentral:rRNA from 1 species